rnacentral:rRNA from 1 species
GUCAGCAGCCAUAUCACCCUGCAGCCCAAGACUGGUUGCCCACUGAAGCUAAGCAGGAUUGAGCCUGGUCAGUACAUGGAUGGGAGACCUCCUGGGAAAACUAGGUUGCUGCUGGAA